UUGGAUGGCAAUCUGUUGUGUAGGCAUCUACUUGCUUCCUCUGCAUGGUGUGAGGUAUCAAGACGAAGCAAUGGGUUCGAUCUUCGGCUCUUCUCUUACGAGGACGUGACCACUCUCUUGCUUUGUAGAUGGUUGAGUUUGGGUACACGAGGGUCCGCGUGCAAGAGCUGCUGAUCCUUUUAGACGUUUUCCCCGCUUGGAGUUUCAAGGUUCAACCUUGUGCCUUUCCUCUCUUGGGUUGUCAGUGGUCUUAUUGCAGAUGCGGUAGUGGUUGUUAUUGGCUCCAUUUGCGCCUCGGUUGUUGAUUUUUUCCGCCGGUGUUGUUUCUCGUGAGGUUGUGGUUGUGACCUGUGAUGGAUUGUAGUCUUCUCAAGUCUCUGUUUCUGAGUUCAACUCGUGCGUCUUCAGUUUCUUGGUCAUGAUUGGCUACCUGGUGCUGUUAUGGAAUUCGGUUUGAGUUCCCUUGAUCAUUAAGUAUUUCAAGUCAUUAUCCUUUGUUUGUGGUAGUCUCUAGAGUAAUGGUUCUAUUUAUGUUUUUUUAAUUUGGGUCUCUGGGAUUUCGAUUUGUGAACUCUCCAACUUUGGUCUUCGAAAGAGUUGCGACUCUUGUUGACUGUUGGCUUGUAAUGAUGGUACUUCCGUUUAAGUUGAAUGAAAUUCAAAGAUGACCAAAAAAAAAGUCUCUGUCUGCGUUAAUUCGAUUUCAGCUCUUCUCAUUCCCUUUGAAUACCGGCAAUGUUACGCAACUUCGUUGGUAAGACGUAAGCGAUAAUCAUUUUGCUUCAAAUGAAGUGUAUACAUUGCUUAAUAUUUUUUUUUUUUUGAAAAUUGGCUUAAGAAUUGCUAAACUUGAUUGUGAGAAAAGCAAUUCUUGUAAUUUAUCCAUGUGGCAACUUUCAGGUGGUCCGAUAGUGCCUCUUUCUCACAAUAUCGACAUGACGUUUUUUUAAGUUCAUGACAUAGUGAACUUAAUUUUCUGUAUUUUUAAAUGGUGGUAAUUAGAGAGACGUAAGAAUCUUGUAAGAAAUGUAUUCAUAGGAGUGUUAAGGAUAACCUGAGGCUGUGCAGUUACAACAUACUCGUUAAGCUCUCAACUAUAGUGAGUGGUUCCACUUUCUUGAAACCCCGCAACAUGGAGGGAGUAGAGUUGAUGUAUUGCCACCAGCCUAUAUUACAAGCGGGAAUGGUGCGGAAAGUGUAUAUGAGAAAAGUGUUUUGCCA
rnacentral:lncRNA from 1 species